rnacentral:rRNA from 1 species
UAACUACUGGAAACGGUAGCUAAUACCGCAUAACGUCGCAAGACCAAAGUGGGGGACCUUCGGGCCUCACACCAUCGGAUGUGCCCAGAUGGGAUUAGCUAGUAGGUGGGGUAAUGGCUCACCUAGGCGACGAUCCCUAGCUGGUCUGAGAGGAUGACCAGCCACACUGGAACUGAGACACGGUCCAGACUCCUACGGGAGGCAGCAGUGGGGAAUAUUGCACAAUGGGCGCAAGCCUGAUGCAGCCAUGCCGCGUGUAUGAAGAAGGCCUUCGGGUUGUAAAGUACUUUCAGCGGGGAGGAAGGCGGUGAAGUUAAUAGCUUCACCGAUUGACGUUACCCGCAGAAGAAGCACCGGCUAACUCCGUGCCAGCAGCCGCGGUAAUACGGAGGGUGCAAGCGUUAAUCGGAAUUACUGGGCGUAAAGCGCACGCAGGCGGUCUGUCAAGUCGGAUGUGAAAUCCCCGGGCUUAACCUGGGAACUGCAUUCGAAACUGGCAGGCUAGAGUCUUGUAGAGGGGGGUAGAAUUCCAGGUGUAGCGGUGAAAUGCGUAGAGAUCUGGAGGAAUACCGGUGGCGAAGGCGGCCCCCUGGACAAAGACUGACGCUCAG